AGGUGAACCUGCGGAGGGAUCAUUACUGA
rnacentral:rRNA from 1 species